CCACAAACGCCGUCGAAGGCUGAGAAGCAAAUGGAGAAACGGAAUGCAGGUGAAAGGCAGGACUUGGAGUAACAUGAGGAAUUGUUUAAGCAAAACUGUUGACAGUGGUUUUGAGGAUGGAAUUACUAGUUUGAGAUGUUUACUGUUUUAUGGGAUCUCUUGAACAAGAUUAGUUUAAAAACAGUGGCAGUUGAUUGGUAGAAGAAUUUUGACUUCACAAUAUAAUGGUAGUUGAUGAACUGAUAUUUGGCUUUUCAAGGUAUGUAUACUCUGCACUAACAUACUUGUUUUCUUGAGAAUGGUGAAAUGAUGAUACCCCAAUCUUGAACUCUCUCUCUGAAUAUGUGAUGGAAUAUCCAGAAUCUGACCCAUUCACAUUUUAUAUUGUUUUGUAUCUCUAAAUGGGGAAUGUAUUGGCUUGAUUCUUUU